AACGAACGUUGGCGGCGUGGAUUAGGCAUGCAAGUCGAACGAAUCCCGUCUCUCACCCUGCCCUUUCUCGCAAGAGCAAGGGUGCGGUGAGGGACGGGGGAAGUGGCGAAAGGGGCAGUAAUGCGUGGGUAACCUACCCUGGGGACGGGGAUAGCCUUCCUAACGGAAGGGUAAUACCUGGCGAUUCGGCGAAGGGACAUCCCUAUGCCGGGAAAUGAGUUUCGCCUCGGGAGGGGCUCACGUGGUAUUAGCUAGUUGGGAGGUAAUGGCUCACCAAGGCAAAGAUGUCUAGCGGGUGUGAGAGCACGACCCGCGCCACUGGCACUGAGACACUGGCCAGACACCUACGGGUGGCUGCAGUCGAGGAUCUUUGGCAAUGGACGCAAGUCUGACCAAGCGACGCCGCGUGUGCGAUGAAGG
rnacentral:rRNA from 1 species